AGUGAACGCUGGCGGUAGGCCUAACACAUGCAAGUCGAACGGCAGCACAGGAGAGCUUGCUCUCUGGGUGGCGAGUGGCGGACGGGUGAGGAAUACAUCGGAAUCUACUCUGUCGUGGGGGAUAACGUAGGGAAACUUACGCUAAUACCGCAUACGACCUACGGGUGAAAGCAGGGGAUCUUCGGACCUUGCGCGAUUGAAUGAGCCGAUGUCGGAUUAGCUAGUUGGGGGGGUAAAGGCCGACCAAGGCGACGAGGCGUAGCUGGUCUGAGAGGAGGAUCAGCCACACUGGGACUGAGACACGGGCCAGACUCCUGCGGGAGGCAGCAGUCGGGAAUAUUGGACAACGGACGCAAGCCUGAUCCAGCCAUGCCGCGUGGGUGAAGGAGGCCUUCGGGUUGUAAAGCCCUUUUGUGAGGGAAGAAAGCCGGCCGGCUAAUACCGGGGUGGCAUGACGGUACCCAGAGAAAAAGCAACGGCUAACUUCGUGCCAGCAGCCGCAGUAACAC
rnacentral:rRNA from 1 species